GACAAACUGUCGUACAGUCGUUCACUAUUUUUUUGGUCCUGCUGUGUCGUAAACUUGUUCUUUAUUUUGUUUUUUAUGUAUAGGAAGUUUCAUGGCAACUGGUAUUGUUAAAUGGUUUAACGACGCUAAAGGUUUUGGUUUUAUUACUCCAGAUGAAGGUGGCGAAGAUUUGUUUGCUCACUUCUCUGCAAUUAACAUGAAUGGUUUCAAAACCUUGAAAGAAGGUCAACGUGUAUCUUUUGACGUGACCACUGGUCCAAAAGGUAAACAAGCGGCUAACAUUCAGGCAGCUUAAUCUUAGCCGGUUGUCCGGUUAGUAUCAGAAUAGCGGCAGAUGCCGCUAUUUUCUGU
rnacentral:sRNA from 1 species